GCCUUUCUCCGUUGAAGAGCCUUCCAACCAGGUUGAGUUUGAAGCGAGCAAUCAGCUCAGAGUUAUCAACUGCCGGAAGGAUAACCAGGUCAUCAUCCUCCUCCUCUUGUACUUGCACUUGCAUCUUGUUCUUGGUGGAGUUUGUGAGUAACUGAGACAUCUUUGAAUUUUCAGGUAAAUUAUAGAUAUAGAUAGAACACUUUUCUAAGGACGAGACGUGGUGCAAAAGUCCUCAAGAACUUAUAAGCAGCAGAGAUCCACCGGUAUAGAAGUUUAACCGCCUAUGAAGAACAUCUUCUUUUGUAGGAGCUAGGACCCAGCAAAAGAGAAUUGAGAAGAAGCUUAAAACUGGAACUCAGUUUUGUAACAGAGACCAAAACACUACAUACGAGUGUAGGUCAGCUGUAAAAACGAGACCAUUUGUUGACUGAGGUGUUGUAGCCGUCCAGAUCUUCCGAGUACAGAGGAAAUCUAUGGCUUGUUGUAUGUUACUGUCUCUGUGGGGAGCAGGUAUGGAGAAAGCUUGGAGAUGCAGACGGUAGAUGUUAGAAAGAGAUGUAGCAGGGUAUGGCUUCACCGGAGGAGGCAGGAGCUAACAUCAGACACCGUCCGUACAUGCUUGCCGAGGAGGAUGUAUUGCUAGGUCCGGGGGAUAAAGAUUAAACGGGUAAGAAUUUGAAAAAACUUUCAGGGUUGCAGGCUUUUUUGCCAUAGAUGGAAAGAGUCUACUGGUCAAAGGAAGGUUUGGUUUAUAAGACAGCCGUUAAAGACCUCCUUCGCUUUUCGUGCCUAGGAGAGGCAUUUUUCAAUUAAGUUAUUUAUGGGAAUAUUAACAAUCUUUUAUUUUAGAGCUAAUUUGGUAGAAAACAAAGGAAGAGCGUUAAAUUAAGUAUCUACCAAAAACAGUAAAACAUAAG
rnacentral:lncRNA from 1 species